UGAAGGAGUACUGACAUUCCUAUCACAUGAGAAAUGAACCAGUGUCCAUCUCAGCUGGAGGGUCCCAGAGGAGCAACUUCCACCCAGCUGUGGGGAGUUAACAGGGCAGAGAAGCCAAAAAUUGCUCCUUCUUCAAAGGUCAGCAAGACAUUGCCUAAAGGGACUCUGACUUCAGAUCUAACGAACCACACUGGCUCCCUAAAUGAAUCAUGCGGAGAGCGAGAGCUGGGACGCAUCCUUGCACCCUGCCACAGCAGCCGUGGGCAGUAUUUGCUGAGGAACACCAUCACUCACACGGAGGAAGGCCAGGCCAAGGAAAAUACCCAGGAGCAGCUUGUUUGCAAAGCAGCCAUCCAGAAUCUAAGUACAGUUUUUUAAUAAAAAUGCAUGAAAAUACUGUUUUUCUUUGUUUAUGCCAUUUCUAGCAUCAAAACGUUGUCUAAGAGACACAUUACCAUAACUGUGGUCACCCUCUGUGCACAUAACCUGCUUCUUUCACAAAAUAUAAUUAUUCCCG
rnacentral:lncRNA from 1 species